rnacentral:rRNA from 1 species
GUGGGGAAUAUUGGACAAUGGGCGAAAGCCUGAUCCAGCCAUGCCGCGUGUGUGAAGAAGGUCUUCGGAUUGUAAAGCACUUUAAGUUGGGAGGAAGGGCAGUAAGUUAAUACCUUGCUGUUUUGACGUUACCGACAGAAUAAGCACCGGCUAACUUCGUGCCAGCAGCCGCGGUAAUACGAAGGGUGCAAGCGUUAAUCGGAAUUACUGGGCGUAAAGCGCGCGUAGGUGGUUUUGUAAGUUGGGGGUGAAAUCCCCGGGCUCAACCUGGGAACUGCCUCCAAAACUGCAUGACUAGAGUACGGUAGAGGGUAGUGUAAUGUCCUGUGUAGCGGUGAAAUGCGUAGAUAUAGGAAGGAACACCAGUGGCGAAGGCGACUACCUGGACUGAUACUGACACUGAGGUGCGAAAGCGUGGGGAGCAAACAGGAUUAGAAACCCUAGUAGUCC